rnacentral:lncRNA from 1 species
AUGCGCGGCCAAAGCCCGGCUGCGGGCGCGCAAGUAACGCACCCGCGGGGAGCGGAGCUGGCGGAAGGAGCCCGAACCCUGCGGGGUUGCGGCUGCCGCUCCACGAGGAACCCCAACAGCGCCGGCGGCUCCAGGUGCAGCUGCGGCCCGCGGCCCGCUCCGCCCUCCCGCUCUCACCAGAAAAAGUCCCCCGUGGAGGAGAGAAGCGCCCGGUUUUGUGCGAGCGGCCGCCGGUGCCGCGGGAUGUACCGGCCUGGGAAACUGGGGGCUGCCCCGGGGCCCGUAGGUGGGUUUGGCCCCAUGCAAAGUUUCGGAAGAUGCGCGGAGCACCCCCGCACCGGGGGGGGGGGCUGGGGCAGCAGGCUCCGCCGUGCUCUUCUGCCCUCCCGUAAAAAUACAGCGGCUGGGGACGGGAGGAAACGCGCUCCGAGGGCUCCGCGGCUGCGGAGCGCGGCGGAGGCUCGGGAGGGGAGAGGCGGCAAAGCCCGCGGCACUGCCUGCCCAGCCGGGCACCGGGAGCUGCUGAGCCCCGAAGCGUGGGUCUGUCCCUGGGGCGAGGGGGGCCGCGGGCGGGCAUCCUCCUCGCCUAGGGGGGCCGGUGUUUGCCUAGCUUUUAAAGCGAAAAAAGUAACUCAGUCGCUAGACCGAGGGAAAAAUAAGUGUGUGUGUCCCCCGUCUUUCGCCCCCAGCCCGGGAAACCGGCCGCAGGAGGCCCCCGCCCCGCAGCCGGACCGAACUGCCCCUGCCCUUCGCCGGGGCCGGGGUCGCGCAGCCCAGCCCCCUGCCCACCCGCAGGUCCCGCCCUGCCGCCGACCUUACCUGGGCGCAGCGGGGAGGGCGCCGGCUCCGUCCGGCGGAGGGAACGGGGGAUCGGAGUCGCCGAUCGGGACCGUCACCUCGGGGGGGGUGGCGAGCCCCGCGCCCGCCCUGCCCGCAGCCCCCGGCCGAGCCUGCGGGGAGGCGUCUGCAAUUGGGGAUUGGGCAACCGCGGGAGUUGCGGGAGGCUUGGGGGGGCAUAGAUACCCCCUGGUGUGUGUGCGGGGGAAAAGCCUCGGGGGGCCUGCUGCCCGCCAGGACCGGGGCUGCCCCGGCGGGGCGAAGUGA